rnacentral:lncRNA from 1 species
CUAGGCUAUCAUGUUUCGGCGAGGGGAUUGGAAGUGGACAGAGCAAAAAUUGAUACAAUUGAAAAGCUACCACCACCCACCAAUGCCAAAGGCAUUCGAAGUUUCCUAGGGCACGCUGGAUUCUAUAGGAGAUUCAUCAAAGAAUUCUCAAAAGUGGCAAAACCCCUAUGUAACCUUUUGGAGAAGGACACAACGUUCGUAUUUGAUGAAUACUGCUUACGGGCUUUUGAAACCAUAAAGGCAAAAUUAGUCACUGCCCCAGUGAUGGUAGUACCAGAUUGGGAUCAGCCAUUUGAGGUUAUGUGUGAUGCUAGUGAUUACGCAGUAGGGGCAGUUUUAAGACAAAGGCAUGAUAAGAUUUUUCGGGAUCCACUAUGCUAGCAAAAUUCUUAAUGGAGCUCAACUAAAUUACACAACAAUAGAGGAGGAAAUGCUAGCAGUAGUGUUUGCAUGUGACAAAUUCAGAUCUUACCUCAUUGGCACCAAAGUGAUAAUUUACACGGACCAUGCUGCAAUCCGUUAUCUCUUUCAAAAGAAGGAUGCCAAGCAACGCCUAAUUCGAUGGAUACUGCUACUACAGGAAUUUGAUGUAGAGAUUCGGGAUAAGAAAGGCAGCGAGAAUGUCGUUGCAGACCAUCUCUCACGAUUGGAGAAUGAAAAGGUGGUGGAUGACAGUCAAAUUCGAGAAACGUUCCUCGACGAGAUCUUGCUAGCUGUAUCAACAAAGAUCCCAUGGUAUGGUGAUUUUGUUAACUAUUUAGUGUCUGGAAGGUUGCCACUUGACUUGACCUUUCAUCAAAAGAAGAAAUUCCUACAUGAUGUCAAGUCAUUUCUGUGGGAUGAUCCAAUCUUGUUCAAAAGGUGUGCUGAUAGAAUAAUUAGGCGGUGUGUCCCUGUGGAAGAAACGCGAUCAAUCAUGCAGCAUUGCCAUUCCUCACCCUAUGGAGGUCAUUUCGGUCCUACACGUAAUGCUGCAAAGGUAUUGCAAUCUAGUUUCUAUUGGCCAAAUUUGUUCAAAGACUACUAUGUUUUUGUGAAAACAUGUAACCUCUGUCAACGCACUGGAAACAUUUCAAGACAUCAUGAGCUACCAUUAACCAGUAUGCUUGAGGUGGAAUUAUUUGAUGUGUGGGGUAUUGAUUUCAUAGGUCCAUUUCCACCUUCCUUUGGUCAAGAGCAUAUUCUUCUCGCAGUAGAUUAUGUGUCUAAGUGGGUUGAAGCCAUUGCCACACCAACAAAUGAUGCAAAGGUGGUGUUGAAAUAUUUAUAGAAAAACAUCUUCACUCGGUUUGGCACGCCUAGAGCAAUCGUAAGUGACGGAGGUACACAAUUCUGUAACAAGCUUUUCAAUUCUCUUCUAGCUAAGUAUGAUGUCAAGCACAAGUUGGCAUUGAGUUAUCAUCCACAGUCAAAUGGGCAAGCAGAGGUGUCUAACAGAGAG